CGAAAGAACCGGCUGCUCUCGGCCCUGUGUAUGCGUUUGGAGGGGAAGAGGGGGGUCUUUGGGAUACCCCCAUCCGGGAGGUGGGGGUGUUUCGGAGGGGGGGGGGUCGGGUGGCUGUGCACCCACCCCAGCUGCAUGCAUUGUCCCACACCAUUUCCCUGCGUGCAGCUGCACCCCUGCCUGCACGUGCUCCGUAUUCACGGGCCCUCGCAAAGCUCCGUGGCUGUGAGGUCGGCCUGUUGCGUUGCUCAAGCACGCAGCCCCACGCUGCACACGCGGGUUUGCCUUCGCCGUGGGUCUCCGGGCCGAUUUGGCUCCCAACCAAACGUUUUUCUUCGACGUUGAAUGGGAAAUCCAUCGCUGCUUCUGCCUGCUCGGCGGCCCCACGCACGCGGUUUGGUUGGGGGCGGGGGGGGGGGGGGCUCGGGAUUCAGGGCCCCACGUGGAAGGAACACUGCGGGAGAUUCGGAGCCGAACACAAACCCAGCACGGAGCAGAACUCGGAGCCGAGGGGCAGCUCCCACCCGCGCGAUGCGUUGGGAAGGGACCGAGGGACGCGGUUCGGGGCCGGGCAGGCUGAGAUCCGACCCACGCCAAGGGAAACGGGAACAGCGAGAGGCAGGCCACGCACAGAGCCUCAUUAGUGCUAAUUAAGAGCUGCGUAUUAUUCCACCGCCACGGAACCAUCCCCUGACCGCGCUCCUGCGGGCGGCCAGGUGAACCCGCAUUGCAGGCGUGCAAACGGUGCGCGCGGCGUUGGAAACCUAUUCGCAGCGUUUUGUUUCUUUUUUUUGUUGCUUUUUUUUUUUUAUUUGCUCCUGUUCUGGCGUGCAGGAAAGGAAUCCGAAUCGAAACGCCUUCCGCUCACCAACAUUUCACUUUUCUAAAGGAAAUUCAGCCUAAAUCUAACGUCCUCCCCCCCCUCCCCCCAGCGGAGAGCAGGAAGACGCGGGGCAGGACGGGCUGCGGUGGGGGGAGAGCGCUGUGAUUGCAGCCAAAUGACCCCGCUAUUAUCGUGAUUAUCUUUUAAAGAAGGUAAUUUAAUAAUUACCUUAAUUAUCUGCAGGGAUCGGCGUGGGAGCGAGCUCUGAGUCCCCGCUUUCGGGGCUCUUUGGUGCCCCAAAGCAGGAACAGGCACGGAGCAAGGUG
rnacentral:lncRNA from 1 species